CCGGUGAUAGCUCAGUUGGUAGAGCGGCAGACUGUAGAUCUGAUGGUCCUCGGUUCGAUUCCGGGUCACCGGA
rfam:Babesia sp. Xinjiang scaffold15, whole genome shotgun sequence.